rnacentral:rRNA from 1 species
AUUGAACGCUAGCGGGAUGCUUUACACAUGCCAGUCGAACGGAGUGGCGGACUGGUGAGUAAUAUAUCGGAACGUGCCCAGUAGCGGGGGAUCACUACUCGAAACAGUGGCUAAUACCGCAUUCCAUUGGAGCUGCCGAUAUCGGAUUAGCUAGUUGGUGGGGUAAAGGCUCACCAAGGCAACGAUCCGUAGCUGGUUUGAGAGGGCGACCAGCCACACUGGGACUGAGACACGGCCCAGACUCCUACGGGAGGCAGCAGUGGGGAAUUUUGGACAAUGGGGGAAACCCUGAUCCAGCCAUCCCGCGUGUAUGAUGAAGGCCUUCGGGUUGUAAAGUACUUUUGGCAGAGAAGCAGUAUCUGCAGAAGAAGCACCGGCUAACUCCGUGCCAGCCGCCGCGGUAAUAC